AGAACGAACGCUGGCGGCAGGCUUAACACAUGCAAGUCGAACGGUUGUAGCAAUACAGCAGUGGCAGACGGGUGAGUAACACGUGGGAACCUUCCUAGGGGUACGGAACAACUCAGGGAAACUUGAGCUAAUACCGUAUACGUCCGUGAGGAGAAAGUUUUUAACGCCCCUAGACGGGCCCGCGUAGGAUUAGGUAGUUGGUGAGGUAACGGCUCACCAAGCCUACGAUCCUUAGCUGAUCUGAGAGGAUGAUCAGCCACACUGGGACUGAGACACGGCCCAGACUCCUACGGGAGGCAGCAGUGGGGAAUCUUGGACAAUGGGCGCAAGCCUGAUCCAGCCAUGCCGCGUGAGUGAAGAAGGCCUCGGUUGUAAGGACUCUUACUAGGACGAUAAUGACGACUCGAGAAGUAAGACCCGCAACUACGUAGUCCAGCAGCCGACGGUAACGUACUCGUAAGCGGCGUGGCGAACGACGGCCGUAUAGGA
rnacentral:rRNA from 1 species